rnacentral:lncRNA from 1 species
CUGGCUAUAGAGCGUGGCUGCUCUUCGCUCCACUCCAUUGGAUGGGGAGAUGCUGGAAUUCUGUUCCUCCCCCAUGCUGCUGUCUGGGAGAUGUAGCAGAGACCUCUUCUGAUAGGAAGGGAAACAGAUCCAGAUGGAGGAAACAUCUGAUAAAGUUUGCCUAAGCAGCCAGCAGUCUAUCAAUCAUGACUCUUCCAACCCUCAUCCUGCAUCUAUAUCUAGAUUCAAAGAAGUCCAUGCAGGAGGCAGUCUACACUUUUCAAGAGAAAAUGGAAGGACUUCAGAGUUGAUUUGAUGAAGCUCAGUAAAAAACAUAAUUUUAUGUUUCUCUUUUAAGUUGUUGGCUGUUUGUUUAUUAUGAAGCCAUUUAAAGAGUUUUCUUGUUUAGCAGUGUAUAUAUACUGCAGAUCAUGGUUACUGAGACUCUAGAUGACAGAAGCGUGUAGUCUGUGUCCUUGGGUGACUUAAAAAUAAAAGCAGAACUUUUA